rnacentral:rRNA from 1 species
UACGUAGGGUGCAAGCGUUGUCCGGAAUUAUUGGGCGUAAAGAGCUCGUAGGCGGUGUGUCGCGUCGUCCGUGAAAAACCUGCGGCUCAACUGCAGGCUGGCGGUCGAUACGGGCAGGCUGGAGUUCGGUAGGGGAGACUGGAAUUCCUGGUGUAGCGGUGAAAUGCGCAGAUAUCAGGAGGAACACCGGUGGCGAAGGCGGGUCUCUGGGCCGAUACUGACGCUGAGGAGCGAAAGCGUGGGGGAGCGAACAGG